rnacentral:misc_RNA from 1 species
AAGUCGUAACAAGGUAACCGUAGGUGAACCUGCGGUUGGAUCAUUACAAAAUCCACCUGUCAACGGGGCAACCCCGCGACAUACACACCUUUGUGAACUUAUUGUCUUUGGCGUGUUUUCUCGAAAGGGAGGCCGCCAAGCUAUAUACUCUAUAUUAUUUUUACUUAUACCUUUUUUUCUUUUGAAAAAAAAGCUAAUGAGAUAACAACUUUUGACAACGGAUCUCUUGGCUCUC